rnacentral:rRNA from 1 species
AGACGGGGGGGCUAGCGUUGUUCGGAAUUACUGGGCGUAAAGCGUGCGUAGGCGGUUAUUUAAGUCAGAUGUGAAAGCCCCGGGCUCAACCUGGGAACUGCAUUUGAAACUGGAUAACUAGAGUUUGGUAGAGGUGAGUAGAAUUCCUAGUGUAGCGGUGAAAUGCGUAGAUAUUAGGAGGAAUACCAGUGGCGAAGGCGGCUCACUGGACCAAAACUGACGCUGAGGUACGAAAGCGUGGGGAGCAAACGGGAUUAGAAACCCCGGUAGUCC